AACAUCUAUCUCACUAUCUACUAACAUCUAUACCUCACUAUCUACUAUCAUCUAUUCCCAGCCCUCAUUAUCUACUAACAUCUAUUACCUCACUAUCUACUACAUCUAUUCCCCACAGCCUAUAUCUACUAACAAUUAUUCCCCACAGCCCUCUUAUCUACUAACUCUUCCUCACUAUCUACUAACUCUAUUCCCCCAGACCUCACUAUCUAUAACAUCUAUUCCCCAGCCCUCCUAUCUACUAACAUCUAUUCCUCAUAUCUACUAAACAUCUAUUCCCCAGCCCUCACUAUCUACUAACAUCUAUUACCUCACUAUCUACUACAUCUAUUCCCCACGCCCUCAUAUCUACUACAUCUAUUACCUCACUCUCAUUCCCCACAGCCCUCAUUCUACUAACAUCUAUUCCACCAGCCCUCACUAUCUACUAACAUCUAUUACCUCACUAUCUACUAACAUCUAUUCCCCCAGCCCUCACUAUCUACUAACAUCUAUUACCUCACUAUCUACUACAUCUAUUACCUCACAUCUAUUCCCCACAGCCCUCAUUAUCUACUAACAUUUAUUACCUCCCAUCUACUACAUCUAUUACCUCACAUCUAUUCCCCACGCCCUCAUUAUCUACUAACAUCUAUUCCCCACAGCCCUCAUUAUCUACUAACAUCUUUACCUCACUAUCUACUAACAUCUAUUCCCCCAGCCCUCACUAUCUACUAACAUCUAUUACUCACUAUCUACUACAUCUAUUACCUCACAUCUAUUCCCCAGCCCCCACUACUUCUACAACAUCUAUUACUCCACUAUCUACUAACAUCUAUUCCCGCAGCCCUCACUAUCUACUAACAUCUAUUACCUCAUCUGCUCAAUCUUUUACCUCCCUAUCUACUAACAAUCAAAUACCUCACUAUCUACUAACAUCUAUUCCCCCAGCCCUCAUUAUCCAGUUUAACAUAUUAUUUAUUUACCAAACUGUUCAAGAAGCAGACUAGUAUGAAUGAUAGAGACAAAUAUAAUUGUCAACUGCAGUGAAACUGUUAUAAUGUUUUACAUUUCUCUGUUACCUCUAAUCCAGCCCGUCACACCCUACU
rnacentral:lncRNA from 1 species